rnacentral:rRNA from 1 species
AUUGAACGCUGGCGGCAUGCUUUACACAUGCAAGUCGAACGGUAACAGGUUAAGCUGACGAGUGGCGAACGGGUGAGUAAUGCAUCGGAACGUGCCCGAUCGUGGGGGAUAACGCAGCGAAAGCUGCGCUAAUACCGCAUACGAUCUGAGGAUGAAAGCGGGGGACCGUAAGGCCUCGCGCGAUCGGACUGGCCGAUGUCAGAUUAGGUAGUUGGUGGGGUAAAGGCUCACCAAGCCAACGAUCUGUAGCUGGUCUGAGAGGACGACCAGCCACGCUGGGACUGAGACAUGGCCCAGACUCCUACGGGAGGCAGCAGUGGGGAAUUUUGGACAAUGGGCGAAAGCCUGAUCCAGCAAUGCCGCGUGCAGGAAGAAGGCCUUCGGGUUGUAAACUGCUUUUGUACGGAGCGAAAAGGCUCUCUCUAAUACAGGGGGCUCAUGACGGUACUGUAAGAAUAAGCACCGGCUAACUACGUGCCAGCCGCCGCUGUAA